rnacentral:rRNA from 1 species
UGGUCUUGACAUCCCGACGACCGGACAGUAAUGUGUCCUUCUCUUCGGAGCGUUGGAGACAGGUGGUGCAUGGUUGUCGUCAGCUCGUGUCGUGAGAUGUUGGGUUAAGUCCCGCAACGAGCGCAACCCUUAUCUUUAGUAGCCAGCGGUAAGGCCGGGCACUCUAGAGAGACUGCCAGGGAUAACCUGGAGGAAGGUGGGGAUGACGUCAAAUCAUCAUGCCCCUUAUGACCAGGGCUACACACGUGCUACAAUGGCGUAAACAAAGGGAAGCGAAGCCGCGAGGCCAAGCAAAUCUCAAAAAUAACGUCUCAGUUCGGAUUGUAGUCUGCAACUCGACUACAUGAAGCUGGAAUCGCUAGUAAUCGCGAAUCAGCAUGUCGCGGUGAAUACGUUCCCGGGUC